GACGAACGCUGGCGGCGUGCUUAACACAUGCAAGUCGAACGGUGAUGCUCCAGCUUGCUGGAGUGGAUCAGUGGCGAACGGGUGAGUAACACGUGAGCAACCUGCCCCAGACUCUGGAAUAAGCGCUGGAAACGGCGUCUAAUACUGGAUACGAAACUGGCCCGCAUGGGCAUGGUUUGGAAAGUUUUUCGGUUUGGGAUGGGCUCGCGGCCUAUCAGCUUGUUGGUGAGGUAAUGGCUCACCAAGGCGACGACGGGUAGCCGGCCUGAGAGGGCGACCGGCCACACUGGGACUGAGACACGGCCCAGACUCCUACGGGAGGCAGCAGUGGGGAAUAUUGCACAAUGGGCGAAAGCCUGAUGCAGCGACGCCGCGUGAGGGAUGACGGCCUUCGGGUUGUAAACCUCUUGCAGCAGGGAAGAAGCGAAAGUGACGGUACCUGCAGAAGAAGCACCGGCUAACUACGUG
rnacentral:rRNA from 1 species